rnacentral:rRNA from 1 species
UACGUAGGGUGCAAGCGUUUGUCCGGAAUUAUUGGGCGUAAAGGGCUCGUAGGCGGUCCAUCGCGUCGGGAGUGAAAAGCUGGGGCUCAACCCCAGUCCUGCUUCCGAUACGGGUGGACUAGAGGUAGGCAGGGGAGAACGGAAUUCCUGGUGUAGCGGUGAAAUGCGCAGAUAUCAGGAGGAACACCGGUGGCGAAGGCGGGUCUCUGGGCCGAUAUUGACGCUGAGGAGCGAAAGCGUGGGGAGCAAACAGG